UGGGGAAUCUUGGACAAUGGGGGCAACCCUGAUCCAGCCAUGCCGCGUGAGUGACGAAGGCCCUAGGGUCGUAAAGCUCUUUCGCCAGGGAAGAUAAUGACGGUACCUGGUAAAGAAACCCCGGCUAACUCCGUGCCAGCAGCCGCGGUAAUACGGAGGGGGUUAGCGUUGUUCGGAAUUACUGGGCGUAAAGCGCACGUAGGCGGACCAUUAAGUUGGGGGUGAAAUCCCGGGGCUCAACCCCGGAACUGCCUUCAAAACUGCUGGUCUUGAGUUCGAGAGAGGUGAGUGGAAUUCCGAGUGUAGAGGUGAAAUUCGUAGAUAUUCGGAGGAACACCAGUGGCGAAGGCGGCUCACUGGCUCGAUACUGACGCUGAGGUGCGAAAGCGUGGGGAGCAAACAGGAUUAGAUACCCCCGUAGUCC
rnacentral:rRNA from 1 species